UACGUAGGGGGCAAGCGUUGUCCGGAUUUAUUGGGCGUAAAGAGCGUGUAGGCGGUUUGGUAGGUCCGUUGUGAAAACUCGAGGCUCAACCUCGAGACGCCGAUGGAAACCAUCAGACUAGAGUCCGGAAGAGGAGAGUGGAAUUCCUGGUGUAGCGGUGAAAUGCGCAGAUAUCAGGAAGAACACCAAUGGCGAAGGCAGCUCUCUGGGACGGUACUGACGCUGAGACGCGAAAGCGUGGGAGCGAACAGG
rnacentral:rRNA from 1 species